rnacentral:rRNA from 1 species
AACGAACGCUGGCGGCAUGCCUAACACAUGCAAGUCGAACGAGACCUUCGGGUCCAUUGUCGCACGGUUUCGUAACGCGUCGGAACCGUCCCUCAUGGUCGGAAUAACUCCCCGAAAGGGGUACUAAUACCGGAUAAGAUCUUCUGACCAAAGAUUUAUUGACUUUGGAUGUUCCCGCGUUGCAUUAGCUAGUUGUUAGGGUAAAAGCCUACCAAGGCGACGAUCCAUAGCUGGUUUGAGAGGAUGAUCAGCCACACUGGGACUGAGACACGGCCCAGACUCCUACGGGAGGCAGCAGUGCCGAAUAUUGCACAACGGGCGAAAGCAUGAUCGAGCUCUGCGGGGUGAGUGAUGAAGUCCUUGAAGAAGAAAUGCUCUUUUAACCGGGCAGAUAAUGACGGUACCGGAUGAAAAAGCUACGGCUAACUCCGUG